UACGUAGGGGGCGAGCGUUGUCCGGAAUUAUUGGGCGUAAAGAGCGUGUAGGCUGUUCGGUAAGUCUGCUGUGAAAACUCGAGGCUCAACCUCGAGACGUCGGCGGAAACCAUCUGGCUAGAGUCCGGAAGAGGAGAGUGGAAUUCCUGGUGUAGCGGUGAAAUGCGCAGAUAUCAGGAAGAACACCCGUGGCGAAGGCGGCCGACUGGUCCGGUUCUGACGCUGAGGCGCGAAAGCGUGGGGAGCAAACAGG
rnacentral:rRNA from 1 species